rnacentral:rRNA from 1 species
AUUGAACGCUGGCGGCAGGCCUAACACAUGCAAGUCGAGCGGAUGAGAGGAGCUUGCUUCUCGAUUCAGCGGCGGACGGGUGAGUAAUGCCUAGGAAUCUGCCUGGUAGUGGGGGACAACGUUUCGAAAGGAACGCUAAUACCGCAUACGUCCUACGGGAGAAAGCAGGGGACCUUCGGGCCUUGCGCUAUCAGAUGAGCCUAGGUCGGAUUAGCUAGUUGGUGAGGUAAUGGCUCACCAAGGCGACGAUCCGUAACUGGUCUGAGAGGAUGAUCAGUCACACUGGAACUGAGACACGGUCCAGACUCCUACGGGAGGCAGCAGUGGGGAAUAUUGGACAAUGGGCGAAAGCCUGAUCCAGCCAUGCCGCGUGUGUGAAGAAGGUCUUCGGAUUGUAAAGCACUUUAAGUUGGGAGGGGGGGUUGUAGAUUAAUACUCUGCAAUUUUGACGUUACCGACAGAAUAAGCACCGGCUAACUCUGUGCCAGCCGCCGCCGUAAAAC